UGCUCCUGAGAGCAUCUUCCCCACCUGUGCCUCGUUUACCCUAAUGACCCCAUGCAUUUAACCUCGUGUCUCAUUCUUUCUGGUCGCCAGUUCGUUGUACCUUUUUGUCACGUUCCAGCAUUCCUCGUUUCCACGUCACCGACUCAUAGGAUGUACCUGUAUCUAAUUAUUUCUUUGAUGAGGACAAUCCACCUUUAUCAACACAUCAGGAAAAAAGGCAUUCAUCAAGGAGGAAAUGGUGGCGAACAAGGACUGUGGCAGCAAGAUAAGAUGGAUUUGCAGGAUGAAGUGUGAAAGCCGCUGCCAAGUCUCGCUAUUUAACACUAGCCCGCCUCAUUUAGUCAGGUGUUGUUGACACCGACACACUGCGAGGACCUCUGCUAUUUCUAUUAGCUUCCACUUUCCCUUGAUGGAAAAUGUAUAAAAUUAAAGUUUGAUUUCUGUAUCUUUUGCAUAACUGUUUGUCUCACACUUGCUGACUUGCUUAAAACUGACUGUAGACUAUAUUUGUGAUUGGGGGAUAAUUCCUGUAUAACAAUGUCAGACAGACCAUCUUCCUGCGAUGUGAGAAGACAGUGAUAGUCAGAUAGACCAUAACCCAUGUUUAGUGAAGAUAAUGGGGAGUGACUUAUUAUGAAAGAGAAGCAUAGAGGACUAUUUUUGUGAACAACCACUGUGUACGCUUCUUUUGUUUGGUUGUUGUUCCUGCCUGAAAUCUUAAAUCUUAUCUAAAUCGUAAAUAUUUAAGCAUAUCCAUGUACCCUAGAUAUUUAAAGGUCCCAUAUUUUGUGUAUUUAGACAUCCAUAGAGUGACUCUCUAACAUGGACUUAGUAUAAAACUGUAAAUUUCAUUUCAAAAAACAUCUUGGUGUUGUCGAACAAAUGUCCAGAAAAGGCCCCCUUGACAGCUACCUCUGUUUGACCCAGUUUUGUAUCUGCUUUGUCCAUGUUUGGCUAAGUUCGUCCCCUUUCUUCUGAUUGGUUGCCUAUGUGUAGAAGACCUACUUGUGAGAGCACACGUGUUUGUUGUGUUGAUAGUGCUGGCUUGGGAAUGGAGAGGUAGGCGGAAAUCUUCACUAGUGACAUAGAUCAGCUUGAGAACUUCGAAUGACCUGAUUUCAGGCCCCUUGGCAGAAAAAUGUCUGGAAGUGAAUGGAUGAUUUGAAUUUAUAUUUCACGACUACUGAGGCACCAUAGAGCCAAUAUUAAAUCCUAAAUAAUAGAAAAAGUUGGUUUGUUAAAAUAUGGCACCUUUAAGUAAUUUUAACUUCCACACUGCUCGUGCUAUCUAUUUAGGGCAAUGGCAGAUUUAUUUAAUAUUCUAUAUUAUAUAUAUAUUAUAUAUAUGCAAGUGUUUUAUCAUUGAUAAACAUUUGUCAUUCAGUGUGUCUGUUAGACUGUGACUGUCCUCCUGU